GUUCCAAGAGGAAACAUACAGUUUAUCAUAUCAAAGUUGAACAGGAGAUUAUUUGUGUUCUUCCAGGAGCAGCAAACAACCAUGGAAGAAGAGUGCCCAAGAGUGACCACACCUGAAACCAAACACUGAAAAGACGUCGACUAAUAUGGAGCUGCUUCAAGACCUCAGACAACCCAAACAGUGUUUCCAGUGUCACUUCACUUUCCGUGGGAGCUUGUGGGACACCUCCAGCAGUGACUUGCACUCUCACUUCCCAUGUGCCCUCAGCCACUGGAGAAAGGUGCAGUGGAGCUCAGGAGAUCUCUGCAGUCUG